rnacentral:rRNA from 1 species
AGCAGCAGCCACGGGAAUACGGAGGGUGCAAGCGUUAAUCGGAAUUACUGGGCGUAAAGCGCACGCAGGCGGUCUGACAAGUCAGAUGUGAAAUCCCCGGGCUUAACCUGGGAACUGCAUUUGAAACUGUCAGGCUGGAGUCUUGUAGAGGGGGGUGGAAUUCCAGGUGUAGCGGUGAAAUGCGUAGAGAUCUGGAGGAAUACCGGUGGCGAAGGCGGCCCCCUGGACAAAGACUGACGCUCAGGUGCGAAAGCGUGGGGAGCAAACAGGAUUAGAUACCCCGGUAGUCCCUGUCUCUUAUAC